rnacentral:rRNA from 1 species
AUUGAACGCUGGCGGCAGGCCUAACACAUGCAAGUCGAACGCAGUGGGGACGGGUGAGUAACACGUGGGUAACCUCCCAUCAGAGGGGAUAACACUUGGAAACAGGUGCUAAACCGAUACUGAUGGAUGGACCCGCGGGGCAUUAGCUAGUUGGUGAGGUAACGGCUCACCAAGGCCACGAUGCAUAGCCGGCCUGAGAGGAUGAUCAGCCACACUGGGACUGAGACACGGCCCAGACUCCUACGGGAGGCAGCAGUGGGGAAUCUUGCACAAUGGACGCAAGUCUGAUCGAGCAACGCCGCGUGAGUGAAGAAGGUCUUCGGAUCGUAAAACUCUGUUGUUAGAGAAGCGGUAUCUAACCAAAAAGCCACGGCUAACUACGUGCCAGCAGCCGCGGUAAUAC